AUCGCUUCUCGGCCUUUUGGCUAAGAUCAAGUGUAGAAAUUUAUUUAUUUAUUUAAUUUUAUUUUUAAGAGAAUAAAACCAAA
rnacentral:snRNA from 1 species